GAGACUAUACAUAAACGAAGAACUUCCUAAUAACAUAUCAUAUAUUCAUAUACACCACAAAACACGAAGAAAACUGAAAUGCAAACACUGAAAAAGCAGUAGAAAAUCGAGACAAACUCAUCUCACUCUCUACUCUUCAAAAACUUCAGAUCCUGAGUGCAGAUCCGAAGAGGAAAGCGAAAACAGUGACAGCACAGCCGGCGGCGAAUGACGGAGAGAUAGAUCCGGCAGAAGAAGCAGGUGCCGGUGCGGGUGCGUCGGCAGCUAUUGUAGCUCCGAUGAGAAAACAAACAACAACAAUUACAGCAAGGACUGAUGAAGUUGCCUUCGAGACCGCCAUUUCUGUUGAGAAGUGAAAGUGAAGAGAGAUGUGAAAUGGCGUUACGA
rnacentral:lncRNA from 1 species